rnacentral:rRNA from 1 species
AUUAGAUACCCUGGUAGUCCACGCCGUAAACGAUGCUAACUCGUUUUUGGGCUUUCGGGCUCAGAGACCAAGCGAAAGUGAUAAGUUAGCCACCUGGGGAGUACGAACGCAAGUUUGAAACUCAAAGGAAUUGACGGGGGCCCGCACAAGCGGUGGAUUAUGUGGUUUAAUUCGAUGAUACGCGAGGAACCUUACCAAGACUUAAAUGGGAAUUGACAGGUUUGGAAACAGACCCUCCUUCGGGCAAUUUUCAAGGUGCUGCAUGGUUGUCGUCAGCUCGUGCCGUGAGGUGUUAGGUUAAGUCCUGCAACGAGCGCAACCCCUGUCACUAGUUGCUAACAUUUAGUUGAGGACUCUAGUGAGACUGCCUACGCAAGUAGAGAGGAAGGUGGGGAUGACGUCAAAUCAUCACGGCCCUUACGUCUUGGGCCACACACGUAAUACAAUGGCCGGUACAGAGGGCAGCUACACAGCGAUGUGAUGCAAAUCUCGAAAGCCGGUCUCAGUUCGGAUUGGAGUCUGCAACUCGACUCUAUGAAGCUGGAAUCGCUAGUAAUCGCGCAUCAGCCAUGGCGCGGUGAAUACGUUCCCGGGCCUUGUACACACCGCCCGUCAAGCCAUGGAAGUUUGGGGUACCUGAAGUCGGUGACCGUAAAAGGAGCUGCCUAGGGUAAAACAAGUAACUAGGGCUAAGUCGUAACAAGG